GACGAACGCUGGCGGCGCGCCUAACACAUGCAAGUCGAACGAGAGACGAGGAGCUUGCUCUUCAAAUCGAGUGGCGAACGGGUGAGUAACGCGUGAGGAACCUGCCUCAAAGAGGGGGACAACAGUUGGAAACGACUGCUAAUACCGCAUAAGCCCACGGCUCGGCAUCGAGCAGAGGGAAAAGGAGCAAUCCGCUUUGAGAUGGCCUCGCGUCCGAUUAGCUAGUUGGUGAGGUAACGGCCCACCAAGGCGACGAUCGGUAGCCGGACUGAGAGGUUGAACGGCCACAUUGGGACUGAGACACGGCCCAGACUCCUACGGGAGGCAGCAGUGGGGAAUAUUGCACAAUGGGGGAAACCCUGAUGCAGCGACGCCGCGUGGAGGAAGAAGGUCUUCGGAUUGUAAACUCCUGUUGUUGAGGAAGAUAAUGACGGUACUCAACAAGGAAGUGACGGCUAACUACGUGCCAGCAGCCGCGGUAAAACGUAGGUCACAAGCGUUGUCCGGAAUUACUGGGUGUAAAGGGAGCGCAGGCGGGAGAACAAGUUGGAAGUGAAAUCCAUGGGCUCAACCCAUGAACUGCUUUCAAAACUGUUUUUCUUGAGUAGUGCAGAGGUAGGCGGAAUUCCCGGUGUAGCGGUGGAAUGCGUAGAUAUCGGGAGGAACACCAGUGGCGAAGGCGGCCUACUGGGCACCAACUGACGCUGAGGCUCGAAAGUGUGGGUAGCAAACAGGAUUAGAUACCCUGGUAGUCCACACCGUAAACGAUGAUUACUAGGUGUUGGAGGAUUGACCCCUUCAGUGCCGCAGUUAACACAAUAAGUAAUCCACCUGGGGAGUACGACCGCAAGGUUGAAACUCAAAGGAAUUGACGGGGGCCCGCACAAGCAGUGGAGUAUGUGGUUUAAUUCGACGCAACGCGAAGAACCUUACCAAGUCUUGACAUCCCUUGACGAACAUAGAAAUAUGUUUUCUCUUCGGAGCAAGGAGACAGGUGGUGCAUGGUUGUCGUCAGCUCGUGUCGUGAGAUGUUGGGUUAAGUCCCGCAACGAGCGCAACCCUUAUGGUCAGUUACUACGCAAGAGGACUCUGGCCAGACUGCCGUUGACAAAACGGAGGAAGGUGGGGAUGACGUCAAAUCAUCAUGCCCUUUAUGACUUGGGCUACACACGUACUACAAUGGCGUUAAACAAAGAGAAGCAAGACCGCGAGGUGGAGCAAAACUCAGAAACAACGUCCCAGCUCGGACUGCAGGCUGCAACUCGCCUGCACGAAGUCGGAAUUGCUAGUAAUCGUGGAUCAGCAUGCCACGGUGAAUACGUUCCCGGGCCU
rnacentral:rRNA from 1 species